AAUAAGGUUGCAGUAUCAUCAUAGAAGCAAAAGCGAGAAGUCCGUUUUCUUCUUUCCUGAGCCAAUCGUUAUUCAACUAUUUUAUGCCCAAGAGGAAUUAGGGUUUAUUUCAGUUCAAGAACGAGCGUAUCAGAAACAAAUUAUUUAUUCUAAGACGAAGCCUUGUGGUCAAUUGCUAAAACCCUAAUUCCUGAGUUGAAUUGCUUGCUUCUGGAGCAUAUUUGAUUGGAAUUCGUGCUUCGCGAAGCUCACAUUUACCUCUUCGAUCUCUCUGUUUCAUCGAGAGAUAAUGCUGUACCUACGUACUUGUUGCUAAUUGAUGGAUCCUGAUAGCAAGAGUUUUGGAAGAGGGCCCAGAGAACUUACAGGUGCUGUGGAUCUUAUCAGUCACUUCAAAUUGUUGCCUCAUCACGAGUUCUUCUGCAAGAGGUCACUUCCGUUGUCUAUUUCAGAUGCCCACUAUCUUCACAAUGUGGUGGGAGACACAGAAAUUAGGAAAGGGGAAGGGAUGCAGUUGGAUCAGCUUAUACAGGACACUUCCUUGUCAAGAGAGACGAGUUCCCGCAUCCAGCCGUUUGACCUAGAUGUUCUUGGAGAAGCUUUUCAACUACGUGAAGCGGCUCCAGUUGUUCUGCCUCCUUCUGAGAAAGGCAUCCCAACUGUAGCUGGAAAAUCUAAAAGUGAGUCGAAAGACAAGGAUAAGAAGCAUAAAAAGCACAGAGAUAAGGACAAGGAGAAGGACAAAGAGCAUAAGAAACACAAACAUCGGCAUAAAGAUCGAAGCAAAGACAAGGAUAAAGAGAAAAAUAGAGAUAAAAGUGGUCAUCAUGAUUCUGGUGCUGAUCAUUCGAAGAAACAUCGUGAGAAGAAAAGGAAGCAUGAUGGAGAGGAUCUUAAUGACGUUCACAAACACAAGAGAAGCAAGCACAAGAGCUCAAAGAUUGAUGAGAUUGGUGCAAUAAAGGUAGCAGGCUGAAAUAUGGCGUGUGGUUCUAUCAUUUGUUUAAUCCUCAGACUUUGCAGUUGAGAAUUUCGAGGGAUCCUUUACUUAGUAUUGUGAAAAAUCUGAGUGGCGUAUUCUGUUAGUCUGCCCCCUUUUUGAUGGUGAGCAACACCUUACAAAGGUUUAUUUUACAUGGUAUUUAUCCUUUUCAUAUCCUUCUUGAUGUUCUUAACCAAGAGCGAAGCAGUGUGGUACCUGUUACGUCACAUAUUGCAUAAUAUGCCUGUUUAUUUUUCCAUGCAGAAUUGCCUUUGGACUAACUAAAGAUUGCCAAGAAGGUGAAUUCACCUGUUGAAGUAGAUUUUAGUGCACGGUACAACUGUUGAAAAGCACCAGAAUGUGUAAUAUAUAAAAAAAAAGGACUUCCUUAUAGUUGGUAAUGACACACUGAUAACCUUGAUCCCUUCAUUCAGAGUGACUUACUGCAUUGUGUGUUGUGGUCAUUUGUGUCCUGUCCCUCUUUCAAUGGCUCUAAUCUCCAGGCUGUGUUUAACCAGCAGCUUUGGUAAUAGGAAGAGAAGUUUUGAUACGAGUGUUGGUGUGGUCUUUUCUGAUUUGUCCUUCCCAUUGAGCUUGAAGGUGAUCCCUCAUCAGCAGUCAAACACCCAACAUGGGAGGGGAAAAUGUUUAAAAGGAUGUCUAUAUGUACAAUGCUAGGAAUUCUGCUCGUCAUGGCUAGAUAUUCUUGUAUAUACUAGGCUAGAAAUGAGAUCAAAUCAUUGUUUGACAUGAAAUCCUGGUAAUAUAUGUAUUCAUAUUUGGCUAAACUGGCGCUCCUUAUGCUAAUAGAUCCUUUCGUCGUAACGAGCCCUGUAUUGAAAAACCUGUCUUCUCUGGGCAUAUUACCUUAUUGGAGGAAAAGGAACUUUGAA